AACCUCACGCACAGCCCCUUCCUCUUUUCAUCUCUUCUUUUCCCUUCUUUCUUCUUUCCUUCGACUUUCUUCUUUCUUCUCAACAAAAUUGAGAGACCGACUGACAGAGAGAGUGACGUGAGAGGGAGAUUUUAAGGGAGAGAUCGAGAGAUGUUGAGAGAGAGAUGAGACUCGGGAGAGGGAGUGAAGUGCGGAUCCAGUGGAUCCGUGUGAGGAGACCCGACGGGGCUGGGGGGAAAUCCGAACGACCCACCGAACCAGAGGCGAUCCAGCAGCCUGUGACGCGAUUUCCGGCGAAUUUCCUGCGGUCCAGUGGGCGUUUUCCGGCCUAUCCUUGUAGAAGCCUGAACCCGUGAACCAGUACAACCCGUGACUGCAACCCGGUGACCCGCUGAACACAUGUGGAGACCCGGUUCUCAAUGAAGUUUUCCGGCGAUUCUAGCUCACUGAUUCCAGUGGAUUGGCUAUGAAAAUCCUUGGGAUCAUAUUCGGAUUGGAGACUUUAAUUGGUUCUCCAAUGUAGAGUCCAAAUGACUAGAGUCCAAGGAGUGUUCGAGUUGGAGUCCAAUGCAGCCAAGAUGAUGUUUCUUUGGCUGCAGGUACUACGGUAUAGUCGAUGGGUCGGUAGCAGGGUGCUUGGGAUAUUAUGACUGAAGCUCACCGCGACGGUUGUAAUUGUCGGACCACGGGCUGUCCACUGUUUUAUAGGUUUGGUAUAGCUUGUGACGUUUGUGUCACAUAUUCUUUGUAAAGUCAUAGUUGUUUUGUAAAUAUUGUGUUAAUAAGACUCAUACAGAUAGACGUUAAAUGGCUC